UCAACCUAUUUAACCUUCUAACCCAUCAAAUUAAAUGAGUUGAUGGGUUGACUCAACUCAUUUAGUAAAAUGAGUUGAGUCAACCCAUCAACUCAUUUAACUCUAAACUCAUUGGGUAAUUAGU
rnacentral:pre_miRNA from 1 species